AGCGGCGGACGGGUGAGUAACGCGUGGGUAACCUGCCCUGUACACACGGAUAACAUACCGAAAGGUAUGCUAAUACGGGAUAACAUAAGAAAUUCGCAUGUUUUUCUUAUCAAAGCUCCGGCGGUACAGGAUGGACCCGCGUCUGAUUAGCUAGUUGGUGAGGUAACGGCUCACCAAGGCGACGAUCAGUAGCCGACCUGAGAGGGUGAUCGGCCACAUUGGAACUGAGACACGGUCCAAACUCCUACGGGAGGCAGCAGUGGGGAAUAUUGCACAAUGGGCGAAAGCCUGAUGCAGCAACGCCGCGUGAGCGAUGAAGGCCUUCGGGUCGUAAAGCUCUGUCCUCAAGGAAGAUAAUGACGGUACUUGAGGAGGAAGCCCCGGCUAACUACGUGCCAGCAGCCGCGGUAAUACGUAGGGGGCUAGCGUUAUCCGGAUUUACUGGGUGUAAAGGGAGCGCAGGCGGACCGGCAAGUUGGAAGUGAAAACUAUGGGCUCAACCCAUAAAUUGCUUUCAAAACUGCUGGCCUUGAGUAGUGCAGAGGUAGGUGGAAUUCCCGGUGUAGCGGUGGAAUGCGUAGAUAUCGGGAGGAACACCAGUGGCGAAGGCGACCUACUGGGCACCAACUGACGCUGAGGCUCGAAAGCAUGGGUAGCAAACAGGAUUAGAUACCCUGGUAGUCCAUGCCGUAAACGAUGAUUACUAGGUGUUGGAGGAUUGACCCCUUCAGUGCCGCAGUUAACACAAUAAGUAAUCCACCUGGGGAGUACGACCGCAAGGUUGAAACUCAAAGGAAUUGACGGGGGCCCGCACAAGCAGUGGAGUAUGUGGUUUAAUUCGAAGCAACGCGAAGAACCUUACCAGGUCUUGACAUCCGAUGCAUAGUGCAGAGAUGCAUGAGGUCCUUCGGGACAUCGAGACAGGUGGUGCAUGGUUGUCGUCAGCUCGUGUCGUGAGAUGUUGGGUUAAGUCCCGCAACGAGCGCAACCCUUAUUGCCAGUUACUACGCAAGAGGACUCUGGCGAGACUGCCGUUGACAAAACGGAGGAAGGUGGGGAUGACGUCAAAUCAUCAUGCCCUUUAUGACCUGGGCUACACACGUACUACAAUGGCGUUUAACAAAGAGAAGCAAGACCGCGAGGUGGAGCAAAACUCAAAAACAACGUCUCAGUUCAGAUUGCAGGCUGCAACUCGCCUGCAUGAAGUCGGAAUUGCUAGUAAUCGCGGAUCAGCAUGCCGCGGUGAAUACGUUCCCGGGCCUUGCACUCACCGCCCGUCA
rnacentral:rRNA from 1 species